UACAGGACUCGCAAGACUCCUAUCACCCUGUGAACUUACCUAUAAGCACGUUGCUUCGGCGAGUGUCCCGGGACGGGUUUGCCCGCUCCGGGGCGCUACGCUCGCCGGCAGCCUACUAAACUCUGUUUCUUUGCGUUGGCAUCUCGAGUAAAUCAAACAAGUUAAAACUUUCAACAACGGAUCUCUUGGUUCUGGCAUCGAUGAAGAACGCAGCGAAAUGCGAUAAGUAAUGCGAAUUGCAGAAUUCCGUGAGUCAUCGAAUCUUUGAACGCACAUUGCGCCCGCCAGCAUUCUGGCGGGCAUGCCUGUUCGAGCGUCAUUUCAACCCUCAGGCCCUGCCUGGUGUUGGAGGACUGCGCACGCAGCCUCCCAAAGCAAGCGGCGGCGGCGCCCCGAGACCGAACGCAGUAGUUACUUCUCGUUCUGGGACUGGGUCGUUGUCCUGCCGGAAAACCCCCAACUUCUUAUGGUUGACCUCGAAUCAGGUAGGAAUACCCGCUGAACUUAAGCAUAUCAAUAAGCGGAGGAAAAGAAACCAACAGGGAUUGCCUCAGUAACGGCGAGUGAAGCGGCAACAGCUCAAAUUUGAAAUCUGGCCUUUGGCCCGAGUUGUAAUUUGCAGAGGAUGCUUCGGGCGCGGUGCCUUCCAAGUCCCCUGGAACGGGGCGCCGGAGAGGGUGAGAGCCCCGUACGGUUGGCGGCCAAGCCUGUGUGAAGCUCCUUCGACGAGUCGAGUAGUUUGGGAAUGCUGCUCU
rnacentral:rRNA from 1 species